UACGUAGGGGCGAAGCGUUAUCCGGAAUUAUUGGGCGUAAAGAAGUGCGUAGGUGGUUACCUAAGCGCAAGGUUUAAUCUUGAGGCUCAACCUCAUUCUGCCUUGCGAACUGGGCUACUUGAGUGCAGGAGGGGAAAGUGGAAUUCCUAGUGUAGCGGUGAAAUGCGUAGAUAUCAGGAGGAACACCGGCGGCGAAGGCGGCUUGCUGGACGGCAACUGACGUUGAGGCUCGAAAGUGUGGGGAGCAAACAGGAUUAGAUACCCCUGUAGUCCCU
rnacentral:rRNA from 1 species